CAGGAUUAUAGGUUAAGUUUUAAAACCGUUGGCCUUCAAAGCCGAAAAUGGGGCUCCUGAUCCUGU
rnacentral:tRNA from 1 species